rnacentral:misc_RNA from 1 species
CGCACCUUGCGCUCCUUGGUAUUCCGAGGAGCAUGCCUGUUUGAGUCUCAUGGAAUUCUCAACCUUGCAGUUUUGUUACUGCAAGGCUUGGACUUGGAGGUCGUGUCGGCUCUCGCGAGUCGACUCCUCUGAAAUGCAUUAGUGCGGACGUUACCGGUCGCUUCAGCGUGAUAAUUAUCUGCGCUGCCGUCGACUGGUAUGUGAAGUACGCGCUUCUAACCGUCCUUCACGGGACAAUACAUUGAAACUCUGAGCUCAAAUCAGGUAGGACUACCCGCUGAACUUAA